GACGAACGCUGGCGGCGUGCUUAACACAUGCAAGUCGAACGGAAAGGCCCUGCUUUUGUGGGGUGCUCGAGUGGCGAACGGGUGAGUAACACGUGAGUAACCUGCCCUUGACUUUGGGAUAACUUCAGGAAACUGGGGCUAAUACCGGAUAGGAGCUCCUGCUGCAUGGUGGGGGUUGGAAAGUUUCGGCGGUUGGGGAUGGACUCGCGGCUUAUCAGCUUGUUGGUGGGGUAGUGGCUUACCAAGGCUUUGACGGGUCGCCGGCCUGAGAGGGUGACCGGCCACAUUGGGACUGAGAUACGGCCCAGACUCCUACGGGAGGCAGCAGUGGGGAAUAUUGCACAAUGGGCGGAAGCCUGAUGCAGCAACGCCGCGUGCGGGAUGACGGCCUUCGGGUUGUAAACCGCUUUCGCCUGUGACGAAGCGUGAGUGACGGUAAUGGGUAAAGAAGCACCGGCUAACUACGUG
rnacentral:rRNA from 1 species